rnacentral:rRNA from 1 species
AUUUAUAUUGAUUAAUAAAUUAAUGACCCAAAAAUUUUGAUUAUAAGGUAAAUUACCUUAGGGAUAACAGCGUAAUUUUAUUAGAGAGUUCUAAUCGAAAAUAAAGUUUGCGACCUCGAUGUUGGAUUAAAAUUUAUAUUUGGUGUAGAAGCUAGAUAAUUUAAGUCUGUUCGACUUUUAAAAUUUUACAUGAUCUGAGUUUAAACCGGUGUAAGCCAGGUUGGUUUCUAUCUUUAAAUAUAUUAAAUAUUUUAGUACGAAAGGACCAAAUAUU